AGCGAACGCUGGCGGCAGGCCUAACACAUGCAAGUCGAGCGCCCCGCAAGGGGAGCGGCAGACGGGAGAGUAACACGUGGGAACGUACCCUUUGGUUCGGAACAACCCAGGGAAACUUGGGCUAAUACCGGAUAAGCCCUUACGGGGAAAGAUUCAUCGCCGAAGGAUCGGCCCGCGUCUGAUUAGCUAGUUGGUGGGGUAACGGCCCACCAAGGCGACGAUCAGUAGCUGGUCUGAGAGGAUGAUCAGCCUCACUGGGACUGAGACACGGCCCAGACUCCUACGGGAGGCAGCAGUGGGGAAUAUUGGACAAUGGGCGCAAGCCUGAUCCAGCCAUGCCGCGUGGGUGAUGAAGGCCCUAGGGUUGUAAAGCCCUUUCGGCGGGGAAGAUAAUGACGGUACCCGCAGGAGAAGCCCCGGCUAACUUCGUGCCAGCAGCCGCAGUAAAAC
rnacentral:rRNA from 1 species